rnacentral:tRNA from 1 species
GCAGGAAUGGCGAAAUGGUAGACGCGGCAGAUUUAGGAUCUGUUUUCUGAGAGUUCGAGUCUCUCUUCCUGUACAA